GUCGGUGUUUAUUACGCUGAGGGUCCACCCGUUCCCAUCCCGAACACGGUAGUAAAGCUCACGCGUGCUGAAAAUACUUGGAGGGCAGCUUCCCGGGAAGAUAGGUCGACGCCGACA
rfam:Clostridiales bacterium 41_21_two_genomes Ley3_66761_scaffold_46, whole genome shotgun sequence.